rnacentral:rRNA from 1 species
GAACGAGAAAGUGGAGCAAUCCAUGAGUAAAGUGGCGACCGGGUGAGUAACACGUGACUAACCUACCCUCGAGUGGGGGAUAACUCCGGGAAACCGGAGCUAAUACCGCAUAACAUCGCAAGAUCAAAGCAGCAAUGCGCUUGGGGAGGGGGUCGCGGCUGAUUAGCUAGUUGGCGGGGUAACGGCCCACCAAGGCGAAGAUCGGUAUCCGGCCUGAGAGGGCGCACGGACACACUGGAACUGAAACACGGUCCAGACUCCUACGGGAGGCAGCAGUGGGGAAUUUUGCGCAAUGGGGGAAACCCUGACGCAGCAACGCCGCGUGGAGGAUGAAGUCCCUUGGGACGUAAACUCCUUUCGACCGGGACGAUGAUGACGGUACCGGAAGAAGAAGCCCCGGCUAACUUCGUGCCAGCAGCCGCGGUAAUACGAGGGGGGCGAGCGUUGUUCGGAAUUAUUGGGCGUAAAGGGUGCG